UAAAGAUUUGCCUCCUGUGAAGAUAUUCUAAGGAGUGUUGAUGCGAACUCGGAAGGCAUAUCCUAAAGAGGAAUUUCCAAAGGGUCUGCUCAAGGAACUCAUGCUUUACCCAGGAAUCUAAGAAAUGUUGGACCUUUUGGAUAGAGGAUCUAUUUCAUGGCCUGCACUUGCUAUAAAUUACCAGCAGAUGGCAGCAGACACUGUGUAUUUAAAACCUCAACGGCAACUGAGAAAAUUGCACAUUCCGAACGGUCACUACUAUCAGUGAAAUGUUCCUUGACCACGUGACCUCAGUGACAUUUGCGGGAAUAUAACUGAGGAUGAUGGAUUCUUCUGCCCGAGACUGCGAAUGGAAAAUCUGGGAUGAUGCUUUUGAGUUAAAGCCGUUACAGAGCCUUGGCAGAGUUCUAGGACCAUGGG